AACAUGAACAAACUUGUAUUGAAAUCAUUGCUUAUAUCUAGUGACUGAUUCUUGGGAUAAAUCCCUGAAGGAAACAUUAUUGUGACAAAGUUUAUUUAUAUUUUCUAAAGCUUUCAGUAUAAAAUGAGAACCAUUAUAGUCUCUGAAACAAAUACCUCAAUCAGUUUAACUGAAUCUUAUUUUAAGAGAAUACACUUGAUUUAUCAUCAGCUUCUCAUAUAGAAACUUUAAAUAAGGAUACAAAAGCCUUUGAAUUUCAAAUUGUGAAAAUUAUUAAUAUGUCAGGACUAAUAAUUAUUAACAUUUCAAAAGAAGGUUUGGGGAGCCCUUUUAUUCUCUUGUCAACAAAUGUAAAAAAUUAUAUAUGUCAAGCAGCAGUAUUUUGCAUUGAAUUGAAUAUGUUUUCUCAAACUUUGAAAAAGAGAAAGUAUUUUUUCUGAAUAAGCUAAUACAGCUUGGAAAAAACAUAAAUUAAGCUGUUAUCUCAAAAGUCGGAUCACCUUACUUGCGACAAUAUGAAAUAGAAAAUAUAAGUAUUUCUUAAUAUUUGUCCUAUCAGUAUAUAAAUAAAUAGUGUCAUCUCUAUGUUUGUCAUUUUUUUCUCUCAACUUCUCAAUAUGUUAUCUCUUCCUUCCACAUGAUCACUAGAUAGGAAUUCAAACUGACUUUGACUUUAAGAAAAAUUAUCAUCUUUGUAUCUCCAUUGCCAAGAAUCGUACCACACUUAACAGCAUAUUUACUCAAAUAUAUUUCUUAAUUGAAAAUCUUUAGAAAACUGAACCUGCAAAAGUGAUAUUUACAAUGCCUUCUUAAAUAAAAUUAUUGAUUUGAGGUCAGUUGUUUGUCAUUAUUUAGGGCACUCUCCCCUCUGUGUUAUGUAAGUAACUCAGAUUCAAUUAAAUCUUCAUGAAUUUAAUGAACUAAUCUUCAAUAUAAUAUAAAUAUCAGAAGUGUUCUUUUGAAUCAUUGACCUAAAAAUGAACCUUAUCUUUGCCACUAAUUAGCAUAUUACUUGACUUCUCUGCAUCUCAGUUUUCCCAUCUAUAAAACAGGACAGGUUGGGCAUGGUGUUGCAUGCCUGUAAUCCCAGCACNNNNNNNNNNNNNNNNNNNNNNNNNNNNNNNNNNNNNNNNNNNNNNNNNNNNNNNNNNNNNNNNNNNNNNNNNNNNNNNNNNNNNNNNNNNNNNNNNNNNNNNNNNNNNNNNNNNNNNNNNNNNNNNNNNNNNNNNNNNNNNNNNNNNGCUCAAGUGGUAGAAUCACUUGAGCCUGGGAGGUUGAGGCUACAAUGAGCCACAAUCAUGCCACUGCACUCUAGUCUGGUGACAGAGUGAGGCCUUGUCUCAAAAAAAAAAAAAAGUGGGGACAAUAUUUGUACUCAUCCUUAUAAAAAUGUUGAAAAGAUUACAUAAGUUAAUUCAUUGGACACAUUUGGAGCAAUAAUAGACAUUUUUAAAGCAAUUAAAGGUUUAUUGCAAUAAUGGUUAUGAAUAUUAUUUUUAUUUACUAAUGUUUUGAUUUUGGAUAAGUUCAUCAUAUCUUUGGACUUCAGCUAUAUCAUGUAUUAAAAUAUAGUGAUUGGGUUAAGUUAUCAUUAAUAUCCUUUCUAACUCUGAAAGUUAAUAGUUAUAUGACUCUAAAGAAAGUUAUUCAUGACCUGAAGGAUUUAUUACAUAAAUUCUAUUCAGAUAUCUGUACAGUAUUCCCCCUCCCCCCACUAUUAAAAAUAAACCUUUAUAGGAAUGUUCUACAAUAGUCGAAAGUGCACCAGAGAAUUUGGGGAGGGAUGCACUCAGCUUUUAGUUUUGAUCCCUACAAUAGCUAUUUUGUCAUUUUGUCAAGUUACAUAUAUAUGACCUAUAAUUCUCUAUUACAAGUGCAUUAUAAGAAGUAAAGGCCAAUCUAUCACUUAAUAUCUAUUUUUUUUAUACUUUAAGUUCUAGAGUACAUGUGCACAACGUGCAGGUUUGUUAUAUAGGUAUACAUGUGCCAUGCUGGUUUGCUGCACCCAUCAACUCGUCAUUUACAUUAGGUAUUUCUCCUAAUGCUAUCCCUCCCCCAACCACCACUCCCCAACAGGCCCUGGUGUGUGAUGUUGCCCUCCCUCUGUCCAUGUGUUCUCAUUGUUCAACUCCCACUUAUGAGUGAGAACGUGCAGUGUUUGGUUUUCUAUCCUUGUAAUUGUUUGCUGAGAAUGAUGGUUUCCAGCUUCAUCCAUGUCUCUGCAAAGGUCAUGUUACAAGAGGAUUUAAUAUCUAUUAAAAAGUGAGCAAUAUAAUUUAAUAGAUUUCACAGACUACCCACGAGAUUCCAAGAAUACUUGUUUUCUACAAACUUCCACAGUAUAUACUCUAGCAAUUGGGUGCCACGGCCAGUACUUCGAAUGUUACCAAUCAGUCUUAAAAUACAAGAUGUAAUGCUGAUUAUAAACUAUACCAUGUUCCCCCAGAAAAACUUCUUUUAAAGUUACCAUAAAGAGAAAAAAAGAGGUGUUCCAGAGUGUUUUUCAGCACUUGGUAGACAAAAACACAAGACACAAAUUAUGUAACCUACAGCAAGUUUUUGGCUAAGUUUGUAACAUUGGGUAACCUCUAAUUUGCAUGUGCUUUCUUUGGAUUUUUUAAAAGUAUAUCCAACUUGGUCUGGUUUUGGAACAUCAGCUUUGGAAAUCAAACAGUUCUUUUGAAAUUCUGACAAGUUCCACCAAUGGAUUCUGAAGGGUUGGAGCUACACUUUCACACCUCCCUUUGUUUUUCAAACAAAUGCCCUUCUGAAAACUAGGGAUUUAUGAUGAGUGAUCUCAAUGUCUUCUUCCUCUGCCUCAUUUGAUCCAACAUCUAAAAGUACUAAGUGAUGUGGUUAGCCAUGAGGGUGGAUUGGCAUCCAUAAAAAUAUUUCCUACCCUGAAGUAGGCAAAGUCAAUGACUGUGGUUUAGAACUCUCCGUGAAAUAUGAUUUGGCAACAUUGUUAUUCUGAAAUGUUUAAUGUUGUUUAGCUUGCUUUUUGGUUAAUUUUUUAUAUUCACGUUAUGUCUUUCUGUCCUGCAAUGGCUUAAAUAAACAUAAAUCUUUUUAUUUUAUUUGAGACUGCCAAGAUUUGAACACUAAAUAGUUUGUUGGUAAACUUUUAAAACUUAUAAAAUUCUUUUGUAUAUUCUCUGUUGGAGAAAUCAAUCAAAAAAAGUGUUUUCUUCUGAAUAUAAAGUAAAACUACACUCAUUUAUGUUUAGAUAGACACAAAGAAAAACUGGAUAUUUCAUGUUGAGAUGGAUUUUUUCUGUUCUAAAUAAUUUCUAAAUUUAUAUUAAAGAUUUUAUAACUACAUUGGCAAAUACGCAAAAUUCAAUAUCCUCCUGUUUCCUAUACUACCCAUUUUUUAGAACAAUAAUUAAAUAUUUAAAGAAAUGAAGAAAACCUGUAUUUGUUAUUGAUGAAAUAGUCUAUUAUAACUUUUUUGUAGAAUCAUAUAAUGACCUCAAUCAUAUUACUUUAUCCAGCUAAACACAUAUCUUUUUCUGAAGGCUAAAAGUAUUUCUGAGGAUAGGCAUUAUCAGACUAAUUUUCCCAGAUCUGUGCGUUGUUAUUUUAAAAUCUAAAAAUACUUUUGAUAUAUUGCCAAUAGUAUUCAUAGCAUUUUAUUCAAGUAUAUUCUUGACUAAAAUUUUAUAAAAUUUGGUGUUUAUCCAUCUUAAUAGAGC
rnacentral:lncRNA from 1 species